GAAAUGCGAUAAGUAAUGUGAAUUGCAGAAUUCAGUGAAUCAUCGAAUCUUUGAACGCACCUUGCGCCUUUUGGUAUUCCGACAGGCAUGCCUGUUUGAGUGUCAUGAAAUCUCAAUCACCCCGGGUUUGCUGAACCCGAGGUGGGCUUGGACAUGGGUGUCUGCCGUCUCGUACGGCUCGCCUUAAAUGACUCAGUGGGUUCUUCAGCAUCCGUUCCAGACGUAAUAAGUUUCCUCUCGUCCCUUGCUGUGAGGACCUCUCAUAACCUACCAUCGCGCACCACCUUUGACUCUGACCUCAAAUCAGGUAGGACUACCCGCUGAACUUAA
rnacentral:misc_RNA from 1 species